rnacentral:rRNA from 1 species
GAUGAACGCUGGCGGCGUGCCUAAUACAUGCCAGUCGAGCGAACGGACGAGAAGCUUGCUUCUCUGAUGUUAGCGGCGGACGGGUGAGUAACACGUGGAUAACCUACCUAUAAGACUGGGAUAACUUCGGGAAACCGUAGCUAAUACCGGAUAAUAUUUUGAACCGCAUGGUUCAAAAGUGAAAGACGGUCUUGCUGUCACUUAUAGAUGGAUCCGCGCUGCAUUAGCUAGUUGGUAAGGUAACGGCUUACCAAGGCAACGAUGCAUAGCCGACCUGAGAGGGUGAUCGGCCACACUGGAACUGAGACACGGCCCAGACUCCUACGGGAGGCAGCAGUAGGGAAUCUUCCGCAAUGGGCGAAAGCCUGACGGAGCAACGCCGCGUGAGUGAUGAAGGUCUUCGGAUCGUAAAACUCUGUUAUUAGGGAAGAACAUAUGUGUAAGUAACUGUGCACAUCUUGACGGUACCUAAUCAGAAAGCCACGGCUAACUACGUG